GAGUUUGAUCCUGGCUCAGGAUGAACGCUGGCGGCGUGCCUAAUACAUGCAAGUCGAGCGAACAGAUAAGGAGCUUGCUCCUUUGACGUUAGUGGCGGACGGGUGAGUAACACGUGGGUAACCUACCUAUAAGACUGGAAUAACUCCGGGAAACCGGGGCUAAUGCCGGAUAAUAUUUAGAACCGCAUGGUUCUAAAGUGAAAGAUGGUUUUACUAUCACUUAUAGAUGGACCCGCGCCGUAUUAGCUAGUUGGUGGGGUAAUGGCUUACCAAGGCAACGAUACGUAGCCGACCUGAGAGGGUGAUCGGCCACACUGGAACUGAGACACGGUCCAGACUCCUACGGGAGGCAGCAGUAGGGAAUCUUCCGCAAUGGGCGAAAGCCUGACGGAGCAACGCCGCGUGAGUGAUGAAGGUCUUCGGAUCGUAAAACUCUGUUAUUAGGGAAGAACAAAUGUGUAAGUAGCUGUGCACGUCUUGACGGUACCUAAUCAGAAAGCCACGGCUAAC
rnacentral:rRNA from 1 species